CACGAACGCUGGCGGCGUGCCUAAUACAUGCAAGUCGAGCGGACAAGAAGGGAGCUUGCUCCCGGAUGUUAGCGGCGGACGGGUGAGUAACACGUGGGUAACCUGCCUGUAAGACUGGGAUAACUCCGGGAAACCGGAGCUAAUACCGGAUAGUUCCUUGAACCGCAUGGUUCAAGGAUGAAAGACGGUUUCGGCUGUCACUUACAGAUGGACCCGCGGCGCAUUAGCUAGUUGGUGGGGUAAUGGCUCACCAAGGCGACGAUGCCGUAGCCGACCUGAGAGGGUGAUCGCCACACUGGGACUGAGACACGCCCAGACUCCUACGGGAGGCAGCAGUAGGGAAUCUUCCGAAUGGACGAAAGUCUGACGGAGCAACCCGCGUGAGUGAUGAAGGUUUUCGGAUCGUAAAGCUUUUUUGUUAGGGAAAACAAGUCCGAAAUAACUUGCUCGACCUUGCGGUACCUAACCAGAAAGCACGGUUAAUUACGUGCCAACAGCCGGGUAAUACCGAAGUGGCAAGCCUUGCCCGAAAAUUUUGGCCGAAAAGGCUUCGAAGCGGUUUUUUAAGUUUGAUGGUAAACCCCCCGCUCUACCGGGGGGGUUGUUGGUAACUGGGAAAUUUUGCCCAAAAAAAGGAAAAGAGAGUUACCCCAUGGGGGGGAAAAAACCCAAAAAAGUUGGGAAAAAACCCCGGGGGGGAGGGCCAUUUUUUUGGUUGUAAAACCCCCUUUAGAAAGAAAAACCCGUGGGGGAAAAAAAAAAGUUUAAAUGACACUUGGGGCGCCCCCCCCCCAAAAAAAAAAGGGGGGUUAAUGGGGGGGGGGGGGUUUCCCCCCCUUUUAGGGGGGGGGGAAAAAAAGAAUAAAACCC
rnacentral:rRNA from 1 species